rnacentral:rRNA from 1 species
GAUGAACGCUGGCGGCGUGCCUAAUACAUGCAAGUCGAGCGAACGGACGAGAAGCUUGCUUCUCUGAUGUUAGCGGCGGACGGGUGAGUAACACGUGGAUAACCUACCUAUAAGACUGGGAUAACUUCGGGAAACCGUAGCUAAUACCGGAUAAUAUUUUGAACCGCAUGGUUCAAAAGUGAAAGACGGUCUUGCUGUCACUUAUAGAUGGAUCCGCGCUGCAUUAGCUAGUUGGUAAGGUAACGGCUUACCAAGGCAACGAUGCAUAGCCGACCUGAGAGGGUGACGGGCCCAACUGAAACUGGGACACGGCCCAGACUCCAAGGGGAGGAGGCAGAGGGAAUCUUCCGCAAUGGGCGAAAGCCUGACGGAGCAACGCCGCGUGAGUGAUGAAGGUCUUCGGAUCGUAAAACUCUGUUAUUAGGGAAGAACAUAUGUGUAAGUAACUGUACACAUCUUGACGGUACCUAAUCAGAAAGCCACGGCUAACUACGU